UACGUAGGGGGCAAGCGUUGUCCGGAUUUAUUGGGCGUAAAGAGCGUGUAGGCGGUUUGGUAGGUCCGUUGUGAAAUCUCGGAGCUUAACUCCGAAACUGCAUUCGAUACUGCCGUGCUUGAGGACUGGAGAGGAGACUGGAAUUUACGGUGUAGCGGUGAAAUGCGUAGAUAUCGUAAGGAAGACCAGUGGCGAAGGCGGGUCUCUGGACAGUUCCUGACGCUGAGGCACGAAGGUCAGGGGAGCAAACGGG
rnacentral:rRNA from 1 species